CCUACGGGAGGCAGCAGUCGGGAAUAUUGCGCAAUGGAGGAAACUCUGACGCAGUGACGCCGCGUGCAGGAAGAAGGUUUUCGGAUUGUAAACUGCUUUAGACAGGGAAGAAAAAAGACAGUAUCUGUAGAAUAAGCUUCGGCUAACUACGUGCCAGCAGCCGCGGUAAUACGUAGGGCGCAAGCGUUAUCCGGAUUUAUUGGGUGGAAAGGGUGCGUAGACGGAGAAGCAAGUUAGUUGUGAAAUCCCUCGGCUUAACUGAGGAACUGCAACUGAAACUACUUCCCUUGAGUACUGGAGAGGAGAGUGGAAUUCCAGGUGUAGCGGUGAAAUGCGUAGAGAUUAGGAGGAACACCGGUGGCGAAGGUGGCCUGCUGGACGAUGACUGACGUUGAGGCUCGAAAGCGUGGGGAGCAAACAGGAUUAGAUACCCCUGUAGUC
rnacentral:rRNA from 1 species